rnacentral:lncRNA from 1 species
UGAGUUCUCAAUUCCAAGCGCUAGGACCUGCAAAUGCAAUGUCUCAUAAUACAAGCCAAAUUCCGACAGUGAAAGUGGCUAUUGAGUGUGGAAAGAAAUGUUCUCUCCUUUUUGAUGCACUGAUUGAUUAAUAUUAUAUAUGAAUAUGUACCUUCAAUUUGUGCCAACAAUCUUCAAUUACAGAUAAUAAAAAUAGGAAAGACACAAUGUUGCAUACCAAGCAUGUGAAAGUUGUCUAUAUGCAGUCGACAAACUUGAACCAUGAAACCCUUUGCUGCAACCAUAAAAGGAAGCAAUACGAAAUAGUUUAGGACAGAGGGAGUAUCUUAUAAUCUUUUGUCAGAUUCGAAUAGUCUACUUUUGUAUCUUAUAAUCUUUGUUGUAAAUAAAACGAAUGAUAUAGAAAAAUCAUCAAUCACCAUUCAUGGCCUAUCAUAUCUUAUUAUUGAAGCAAGACAUCUAAAUUGUCUUUCAACAAUGCUAACCUUGUCCAUGGAGCUCGUCAAUAUGAAGUCUACUGAGUCUCAUAGGCAAGUCAAGUGAGCAACCUGGUGAACUACAAAACAAAUCAACAUACAUUAAGUAUCAUAUAACAUAUACUUAGAGAAAUCAAGUGAAGUAACAAACUUGCUAGCACCAACUGCAGUUUUAUACUUGUCUUCUGGUUGCACAAGUAUUUGAUGAUACCCUGAUCUGAGAUCAAGUUUAGAGAAGUAUUGAGCACCAUGCAACUCAUCCAAUAGCCCAUCUACUGUACAAAUGUUUCAGAAACUGAUGGGUUGUAGCACACAUUCUAAGUGAAGUAACGGCUAUAGCAGCGCUAUAAUAUUGUUGUGUAGCGGCAUUUGAACAAACUUCUAGCGUAGAUAAAGGAUUCAUCCUCAUGUUAACCUAAGAAUGUCUAAAAUAAUUGUAUUGAGAUGCAAAAUGAAAUAUCCUAUCGAGUGUUGCAUUAUACAGUCCAGACUUCCAAUCUAGUAUAUUGUAUGUCAUGAGGCUAACACUUGAUUCUAAACCUUCGCAUUAUAAAAACAAUAAUAUUUUUACAGUAAUAAUUUUUUUUAUUUCGUCUAUUGCACUCCACCUAUGAUAUCAUUAUCAAACAUACAUUGGGAAGUGUUUAAUUUAGAUUGACAAAAGAGCCAUUAAUUUUAUGCUGAAAUGAAACCAUAGAAACAAAGUAACAUGCCAGAAGAAGCAAAAGAGCAAGCAAAGCCAGUGGACAUUACUUAUUCAUUCCUAAUUACCUCUUUAAUAACAUAACCUAAACUUCUUAAAUCUCUUUAUGUUAUCUUUCUUAACUCUUUCACAGUUUUUGACAAAGAACGUUAGGAAAAUCAAUGAAGUUAGAAAAUACACAACCAAAACUACCUCCUACCAAGUGUGUUGGAACGAAACUCUUUCAACAAUUUUAAGGGAUUCCUAACCAUGUAGCUCAAGCAAGUAGUGGUUGUAAUCGUUCUCCUAUAAAGAUUAACUAUCACUUGAUCAAUAUAAUCGAGUAAUAUAACUCCAAAUGAUUGUCGAACAAGUGAAAGUGGCUAUUGAGUGUGGAAAGAAAUGUUCUCUCCUUUUUGAUGCAGUGAUUGAUUCCUAUUAUAUAUGAAUAUGUACCUUCAAUUUGUGCCAACAAUCUUCAAUCACAGAUAAUAAAAAUAGGAAAGACACAAUGUUGC